rfam:Candidate division WOR-1 bacterium RIFCSPLOWO2_02_FTLL_46_20 rifcsplowo2_02_scaffold_4568, whole genome shotgun sequence.
GGGAGUGUCGGUUAAUGGCUAAACCACUGCUCUCCAAAAGCAGGACUGGGGGUUCAAGUCCUCCCACUCCCG